UACGUAGGGGGCAAGCGUUAUCCGGAUUUACUGGGUGUAAAGGGAGCGUAGACGGUUUGGCAAGUCUGAAGUGAAAGCUCGGGGCUCAACCCCGGAACUGCUUUGGAAACUGUCGAACUGGAGUGCAGGAGAGGUAAGCGGAAUUCCUAGUGUAGCGGUGAAAUGCGUAGAUAUUAGGAGGAACACCAGAGGCGAAGGCGGCUUACUGGACUGUAACUGACGUUGAGGCUCGAAGGCGUGGGGAG
rnacentral:rRNA from 1 species